rnacentral:lncRNA from 1 species
CAAUAACAAUGUGCACCAACCCUCCAAGAAGAUCCACACAAGCACCCAGUUUCAGUGUGUCAAUAGGGCAAGUGGCAGUGGCCGGUGGUGGCGGGCAGGAUUUUCCACUUGGUGGAGUAGUAAUUGGAGGCACCGUCACCGGAGGGAGGUUAAUGGGUGGCUUCACAAUUGGAGGGAUCAAUGGGGGGAGGUUGAUUGGCGGCUUCACAACGGGAGGGAGUGUCACCGGAGGGACUGUGACUGGUGGCUUCACAAUUGGAGGAACAGUAACCGGUGGCAAGUUGAUUGGAGGUUUAACAAUGGGAGGGAUGGUAAUGGGACCCUUAGGGGACUUUCCCUUGGGCUUUCUGUGCUUCGGGGGUGGCUUGCCGCAGGUUCCACAGCCAAGAAUUGG